AGAGUUGAUCAUGGCUCAGAACGAACGCUGGCGGCGCGCUUAAGCAUGCAAGUCGAACGGCAAGAGGUAGCAAUACCUCCUAGAGUGGCGGACUGGUGAGUAACACGUGGGUGACAUACCCUUCAGAUGGGGAUAGCUAUUAGAAAUAGUAGAUAAUACCGAAUACGAGCACAGGGGUUAGAGAUCUGUGAGGAAAGGAGCUAAGGCUCCGCUGAAGGAAUGGCCUGCGGCCCAUUAGCUAGUUGGUGAGGUAAGAGCCCACCAAGGCGAUGAUGGGUAUCCGGCCUUAGAGGGUGAACGGACACAUUGGGACUGAGAUACGGCCCAGACUCCUACGGGAGGCAGCAGCUAAGAAUAUUCCGCAAUGGACGAAAGUCUGACGGAGCGACGCCGCCGUGGAUGAAGAAGGCCGGAAGGUUGUAAAAUCCUUUUGAAACUGAAGAAUAAGCGUUGUAGGGAAUGACAGCGUGGUGACAGUAGGUUUUGAAUAAGCAACGGCUAAUUACGUGCCAGCCGCCGC
rnacentral:rRNA from 1 species